GACGAACGCUGGCGGCGUGCUUAACACAUGCAAGUCGAACGGAAAGGCCCAGCUUGCUGGGUACUCGAGUGGCGAACGGGUGAGUAACACGUGGGUGAUCUGCCCUGGACUCUGGGAUAAGCCUGGGAAACUGGGUCUAAUACCGGAUAUGUCCUUACAUCGCAUGGUGUUUGGUGGAAAGCUUUUGCGGUUCAGGAUGGGCCCGCGGCCUAUCAGCUUGUUGGUGGGGUAAUGGCCUACCAAGGCGACGACGGGUAGCCGACCUGAGAGGGUGAUCGGCCACACUGGGACUGAGACACGGCCCAGACUCCUACGGGAGGCAGCAGUGGGGAAUAUUGCACAAUGGGCGCAAGCCUGAUGCAGCGACGCCGCGUGAGGGAUGACGGCCUUCGGGUUGUAAACCUCUUUCACCAGGGACGAAGCGUGAGUGACGGUACCUGGAGAAGAAGCACCGGCCAACUACGU
rnacentral:rRNA from 1 species